UAUUUACUCUGAGCGAUUCAGUUCUUCCAUUAUCUGUGAUUGAAUCUUCGGUUUCCAUUAAUUACGUUUUCUCAAUAGCAUCUCAGGGUCGCUCGGAGUUCCCCUUCAAACAAUUUCGCAGCUUCUGAAAUAAGUAACGGUUCUAGGUUUGCCCUAAUAAUUAGAACUCCGAUGGGAUUAAUUUAUUGGUGAAAUUAAUUAAAGCAAAAGAAACGCACGCCAUGGAUUUCAUUGCCUGCUACCUCUAUAAAUUGUCUCCGAAAAUCACAGGAAAUCAUCAGUCUCACGGGUUCACCAUCUUCCCAGUCAAAGAGAGAAAUGGCGUCACAGGUUACUUGCAAUAUUCAUAAGGUUGGACCCUCAGCCACACAUGACACACUCAAGAGCUUGCGAUCGCUUGACGAAGGAAGAGCUAGCAUCGUUACCAUCCGUGUUACCCUGAAAUGGGAAGAGGUGGACUUCAUGUCGACCAACGACGUUACCAGCAUUGAUAUGGUUAUUGUUGACGUGCAGGGGGAAGAAUUAUACGCUGUUAUACCCAAAAAUCUUAUUUGGAAGUUUGAUAAGCUGAUUCUGGAGGGGGUUUCUAUGCAGAAACUACACUUGACCACUGCUAAACCCAAGUUCCGUCCUGCGCACAAUGAGAAGCGGGCCUUCUUCCGGAGCACCACCUCCGUUUCUGCUUUGGAUGCGUAUUCCGUGUCCAUUAUUUCCCAGAAAUUCUGUUUCACUGAGCUUGAAGCCAUAUAAUCGAACCUCCAGAACAUACAUCUUACAGAUGUGGUUGGUUUCUUAAAAACGGUCACGAACAUCCAGGUGCUUCAAAGGUCCGGUGGGAAAUCAAGCCGAAUGCGGGAGAUCACAAUUGAAAAUCUCAGGGGCACAACUAUGAAAAUUGCUCUAUGGGGUUCUGCCGCCAACCAAGCAGGGAAUGACCCAAUUGAUUGCGACUUCGUCCCCCCGUCCUGUGGUUGUUCCCGUUAGCUCCACUUUUGUUAAGAACUACCAAGGUAUCCCAAGGGACAUUUUCAUUAACCAAUGUUUUGCGUUAGCCUAUGAACACAAUGGAAGAAACACUUUGCUGACGAUACAGAAGUUGUAACUGCAAUUUGAUAUGAUGACCUUUUCUUUUGUUAGAGAAGAGACAAUAAUGACAACAUUAGUAUAUAUAUACCUGUAUAUGAGAUUACUUCACCACCAGUUUACAUCAUCGAAACGAGUAAAAAAGAAGUUUUAGAGUCGUUAAGAAGGUUUCCAAUCAAGGCAGCUGUAAGGAGAAGAUGGCAAACCAAAUGCGAGCACAUCAGUAUACUUUAGCUUAUCUGAACAAAAGAAGAUCCACAUCCCACUUGCCAUCAAAAGGAACCGAGGCAACCAUAUCUGAUAAGAACGUUUCGAUAACCCCUGCCACAGUCAUCGCACCAGCUAUCGUUCCUUUGAAGAGGGAGCACCGACUUACCACAGUCAUCGCACCAGCUAUCGUUCCUUUGAAGAGGGAGCACCGACUUACCAUUGCUGAAAUUAACUCCGCAACAAGGGCGAGCACGAGUGAGGGAAAUGCAUCUUUCACGAUGUUGGCACAAAUUCUAUCUUUGAACGACAAAUGGUUAAUCAUCUACUGCCUAAUAUGCUUUGGGCAUGUGUCGGAAUGGAAACAUCGUAGUAUCUGUAAAACAUGUUUCGGCAUAGUUCACCCUACCACGAGGCUAAGCCUAACCAUGGAGGUUAACACCAAGGUGGAAACGCUGAUAAGUUUGAAAGAGGUAGUGUGCUAAAUAUUAAUAAUUCAAAUACCCGCAAAACCCAUACAUUUUAAACCAACAUCACUGUCAUCAAAUUUAAUAUGCAAAAUGUUACGGGAAGACGGAGAUCAACAUGUUUUCGGAGUACUUUAUGAAAUUUCGCUGCGCCAGAUGGUAUUUCAAGUUCGUACGUCAACUGAGAUAUGGGGAAACCAACCACCAAUAUAUAAUGUGGUUCGACUUAACCGGAGAUGCGGAGCGUGGACGGCUUACUAUGUCGACCAACUGUUCAAUGAGGAAUGUAACCAUGAGGAAGAACAAUAAUUCGUAAAUGGCGACAUUGCAUCCUUGGCGAAGAAACUUCAACAACUUCAGCUCAAUGGGACGUUGUUUCAGGGAGAUACUGGAUCGAUGGAGGAUGUGGAUUGAAGAGGUGGAUCAUUAAGGAUCGAAGACUUACCAAGAUGAGAAUAUUGGAUUUAUUUUGCUUUGUUUUGUUAAACCCCUAGAUUUAUUUGGUGAUUUGGUUGGUUUUUUAUUGAUCUUUUAGCUUUGUCUUUAUAGUUGUCUGUUUUGUGGCUCCUUAGUGGAUUAUCACAUGCCUUACAUUGGAAUUUUAUAUUUUGAAUGAUAGUUUUCGAUCCUAUA